ACAGUACAAACUGAGCAGGCGAUAAAUCUUAAGCUGAAGAUUUGUGGGGCCGGGCCGCCGCUGGUGGCAGCAGAUAUGAAUGAUAAUUCACAUCUGUGGGACAGUA
rnacentral:ncRNA from 2 species